UUUCUGGCCCUCCCUGUGUUUCCAGCAAAGGCAGUGACAGGGAAAUUUCUGUCUCCGUUGAAGUAUUUAUGAGAUUCAUGUUGGAGGGCAUAACUAAAACUUUGCUGGGGAGAGCCAGGGGUCACUGAGGUGAAUUGAGGGGGGCCAUAAGGGUCUGCCUGCCUUCUUCAAGCCCUCCGGAAGCAUCUCUCCCAAAUUCCUGACCAAGAAGAAAUCAUGCAGCAAAUGGGGAGAAGUAGGGAAGAAACCAUUUUUCAAAGCGUCUCUGCUUUGAGCAACCAGAUGGAAGAGAGGAAAGUUGUGGCCAUCGUUUACCUGCUGAGAUUGGGAGGACGCUGUUGAUGAAAGUCGGCUGAGACACCACAGAGCGGAAAAAAAGCUGAAGAUAAAUUCCCAAAGUCAUUGGAUUCAGGAU